rnacentral:lncRNA from 1 species
UGAAACCAAUUACAUUGUUUUUGAGGGUCGUGGAUUUAUGCCACUUGUUUCUUUUCUUAACUGCAGAUGAUGUAGCCAAAGCUUGUGAGUGUGAAUACUGUUACAUCUUUUGUAUAACUCUCAUAACAUUGAGGACGGAAAAAGAAAAGGAGGAAGGGUUUAUUCAGCUGGAAAAAGCUCACAUUUGGAAGUGACUAUCGUGGCUAGUUAGAACAAAAACAACCAAUCAAGAUUUAACCCCAUUCUAAAGAUUAAAUUAAUCUCUACAUUCAGAUCUUGAGAUUGCAGUCACUGCUGCAGAUGAAAAAGCUGAAACCUUUUACUGGAGUAGAGGAGUGAGGCUGCCUGCUGGUCCUGCACCCUUGUGGCAUCAGGCAGUGACAGGACUAUCCUUAGUCUGGUGUGGUACCUUGUGUGUGAUCCAGGUGAUGCCAGGGAGCAGAUGAGCCCGUAAAGUACCAGAAAAGAGAGUUUGCUCAGGGAGGAAGCUUGGCUGAUAUUGGUGCACAGGGCAGUACUGUUAGGGAGCAGAUGAAAUCCUUGCUGAUGACUUUUAUCAGAACUAGGUGAAGCUAGUUAUGUAGGGAGGUGCUAAUAUGGUUCUUCAAGGGACAGGGGGUAAAUGUUGGAGGAGCUGUGUAUUUCUAACCAGCUCAGCUAUGGGCACUUGCUGCUGCUAGAAGACAGCUCUAAGCUGAUUCCUCCUGCAUGCAUCCUGAUGAAGAAAAAUAGGAUGUAAGAAGAACUGAUGACAUACCUAAGAUGUCUUAGGGGAUGUAAUUGGACACUCAACUGAAGGCCUCUGAGCAACCUCCCUUAAACAGCACGUGCUUCCUCUGUACUGAGCAGCCUGGCUUAUCUUCUAUAUGUGACAGUUCUCUGCUCUAACUUGCCACUAGCUUCAGCUCUUCUUUGCAGAAGUCCCAAACAGGCCAUUUUUCUCUGCUUAAAUUCAGGAACAAUAAAAAAGCCAGCUAAAUUGAUAUUUAUGGACUUGGGAAUCCAGAAAAAAAAAAAAAGGAGUCCAGAAGAAGAAUGUGCCAGUAUUAUCUCAGGGCUUUUGUUUGCUGAUGGAGAGAAGAGGAUGACGGGAGAAGACUCCAGCAGUGCCCAUGAACCUUGCACAGAGCUGGCGAAGCAGAAUGGCAAGACCAGGUCCAAAUGUUAUCAGGGAUGGCUCUGCAGGAUUGUGGCUGGACUGAAGUGACCUGCAGGUUUAACGCUGUUCUGGAAGACUGAAGCACUACAGUGUUCUGUGCCAGGACAAGUCCUGCUUCGUGGACUUCUUGGAAGAGCACAGUAAAUAUAUUUUAUGAGGUUUUAGAAAAGAGGUUGCACAUUUUUUAAUUCAUGAGGGUAAUGAAAGAU